rnacentral:lncRNA from 1 species
AAAAAGGUUGCCUCUUUCAUUUUCUUUGUUUUCUUAUUCGUAUAAAAGUAAAAUAAAGAAAAAUAAAAACAGUAAAUAUCAACCUUCGAAUCGAUUGUAUUGCUUUUGGUGUUUGCUGUUUUCGAUUAUAGAAUAUAGUUGUUUUUAUUGAUUGCCCCUUUCGGAUCCCCAUUACAAUAUUACAAUGGCUAUUUUAUAGCCG